rnacentral:rRNA from 1 species
UACGGGGGGGGGCAAGCGUUGUUCGGAAUUACUGGGCGUAAAGGGCUCGUAGGCGGCCAACUAAGUCGGAUGUGAAAUCCCCAGGCUCAACUUGGGAACUGCAUCCGAUACUGGAUGGCUUGAAUCCGGGAGAGGGAUGCAGAAUUCCAGGUGUAGCGGUGAAAUGCGUAGAUAUCUGGAGGAAUACCGGUGGCGAAGGCGGCAUCCUGGACCGGCAUUGACGCUGAUGAGCGAAAGCUAGGGGAGCAAACGGG